AGGGGCUGGCGGCUUCGGCAGCCUUUGGGGAGGAGAGGCGGCGCGCUCCGGCCAUGCUCCGGCCAUUUUUGGUCGGGUAGAGCUAAGUUUGGAAUUUGUAACCUGGGGGAA
rnacentral:lncRNA from 1 species